UACAGAGGUCCCAAGCGUUGUUCGGAUUCACUGGGCGUAAAGGGUGCGUAGGUGGUGAGGUAAGUCGGAUGUGAAAUCUCGGAGCUCAACUCCGAAACGGCAUUGGAUACUACCUCGCUCGAGGAUUGGAAGGGGGACUGGAAUUCUCGGUGUAGCAGUGAAAUGCGUAGAUAUCGAGAGGAACACCAGUGGCGAAGGCGAGUCCCUGGACAAUCUCUGACACUGAGGCACGAAAGCUAGGGGAG
rnacentral:rRNA from 1 species